rnacentral:rRNA from 2 species
AUGGCAAAGUUAAUAAGGGCGCACGGUGGAUGCCUUGGCAUUAAGAGCCGAAGAAGGACGUGACUAACGACGAUAUUCUAGGGGGAGCAGUAAGUACGCAUUGAUCCCUAGGUCUCCGAAUGGGGAAACCCACUAUGUUAUGCAUAGUAUCCGUAAGUGAAUACAUAGCUUACGAGAAGGUAACGCAGAGAACUGAAACAUCUAAGUACCUGCAGGAAGAGAAAGUAAAAACGAUUUCCUAAGUAGCGGCGAGCGAACGGGAAACAGGCCAAACCAAGAAGCUUGCUUCUUGGGGUUGUAGGACUGCAACGUGGACUUAAAGUCUAUAGAAGAAUUACCUGGGAAGGUAAGCCAAAGAGAGUAAUAGCCUCGUAUUUGAAAUAGACUUUAUACCUAGCAGUAUCCUGAGUAGGGCUGGACACGCGAAAUCCAGUUUGAAUCCGGGAGGACCAUCUCCCAAGCCUAAAUACUCCUUAAUGACCGAUAGUGAACCAGUACCGUGAGGGAAAGGUGAAAAGAACCCCGGGAGGGGAGUGAAAUAGCACCUGAAACCGUGUGCCUACAAGAAGUUCGAGCCCGUCAAUGGGUGAGAGCGUGCCUUUUGUAGAAUGAACCGGCGAGUUACGUUAUGAUGCGAGGUUAAGCUGAAGAGGCGGAGCCGUAGCGAAAGCGAGUCUGAAUAGGGCGCUUUAGUAUCAUGAUGUAGACCCGAAACCUAGUGACCUAUCCAUGAGCAGGUUGAAGGUGCGGUAAGACGCACUGGAGGACCGAACCAGGACACGUUGAAAAGUGUUUGGAUGACUUGUGGAUAGCGGAGAAAUUCCAAACGAACUGGGAGAUAGCUGGUUCUCUCCGAAAUAGCUUUAGGGCUAGCGUCGCAAUUUAAGUGUAUUGGAGGUAGAGCACUGUUUGGAUGAGGGGCCCAUCUCGGGUUACCAAUUUCAGAUAAACUCCGAAUGCUAAUACACAUGUGCGGCAGUCAGACUGCGAGUGCUAAGAUCCGUAGUCGAAAGGGAAACAGCCCAGACCACCAGCUAAGGUCCCAAAAUAUAUGUUAAGUGGAAAAGGAUGUGGGGUUGCACAGACAACUAGGAUGUUAGCUCAGAAGCAGCUAUCAUUCAAAGAGUGCGUAAUAGCUCACUAGUCGAGUGACCCUGCGCCGAAAAUGUACCGGGGCUAAACAUAUUACCGAAGCUGUGGAUUUAAUAUUAAUUAAAUGGUAGGAGAGCGUUGUAAUCAGCGAUGAAGGUAUACCGUGAGGGGUGCUGGAGCGAUUACAAGUGAGAAUGCCGGUAUGAGUAGCGCAAGAUAAGUGAGAAUCUUAUCCACCGUAAGACUAAGGUUUCCAGGGGAAGGCUCGUCCGCCCUGGGUUAGUCGGGACCUAAGGCGAGGCCGAAAGGCGUAGUCGAUGGACAACAGGUUGAUAUUCCUGUACUAGUAUUGUUAGUGAUGGAGGGACGCAGUAGGCUAAAGGGAGCCAGUUAAUGGAUUCUGGUCUAAGCAGUGAGGUGUGGAAUGUGUCAAAUGCAUUUUCCUUUAACAUUGAGCUGUGAUGGGGAAGCAACUACGGUUGCGAAGCCCUUGAUGUCACACUGCCAAGAAAAUCUUCUAGCGUUUAAUUCAAUACUACCCGUACCGCAAACCGACACAGGUAGUCGAGGCGAGUAGCCUCAGGUGAUCGAGAGAACUCUCGUUAAGGAACUCGGCAAAAUGACCCCGUAACUUCGGGAGAAGGGGUGCUGUAGAAAUACAGCCGCAGUGAAAAGAUCCAAGCAACUGUUUAUCAAAAACACAGCUCUCUGCUAAACCGCAAGGUGAUGUAUAGGGGGUGACGCCUGCCCGGUGCUGGAAGGUUAAGAGGAGGGGUUAGCUUAGGCGAAGCUCUGAAUUGAAGCCCCAGUAAACGGCGGCCGUAACUAUAACGGUCCUAAGGUAGCGAAAUUCCUUGUCGGGUAAGUUCCGACCCGCACGAAAGGCGUAAUGAUUUGGAUACUGUCUCAACGAGAGACUCGGUGAAAUUUUAGUACCUGUGAAGAUGCAGGUUACCCGCGACAGGACGGAAAGACCCCAUGGAGCUUUACUGCAGAUUGAUAUUGAGUACCUGUGAAGCAUGUACAGGAUAGGUAGGAGACUUUGACCUUGGGACGCUAGUUUCAAGUGAGUCGCUGUUGGGAUACUACCCUUGCUUCAUGGUUGCUCUAACCCACACGCAUAAUCGGCGUGGGAGACAGUGUCUGUCGGGCAGUUUGACUGGGGCGGUCGCCUCCUAAAGAGUAACGGAGGCGCCCAAAGGUUCCCUCAACAUGGUUGGAAAUCAUGUGUAGAGUGUAAAGGUAUAAGGGAGCUUGACUGCGAGAGCUACAACUCGAGCAGGUAGGAAACUAGGGCUUAGUGAUCCGGUGGUACCGCAUGGAAGGGCCAUCGCUCAACGGAUAAAAGCUACCCUGGGGAUAACAGGCUUAUCUCCCCCAAGAGUUCACAUCGACGGGGAGGUUUGGCACCUCGAUGUCGGCUCGUCGCAUCCUGGGGCUGUAGUCGGUCCCAAGGGUUGGGCUGUUCGCCCAUUAAAGCGGCACGCGAGCUGGGUUCAGAACGUCGUGAGACAGUUCGGUCCCUAUCCGUCGCGGGCGUAGGAAAUUUGAGAGGAUCUGCCCUUAGUACGAGAGGACCGGGGUGGACUUACCGCUGGUGUACCAGUUGUUCCGCCAGGAGCACCGCUGGGUAGCUAUGUAGGGAAGGGAUAAGCGCUGAAAGCAUCUAAGUGCGAAGCCCACCUCAAGAUGAGAUUUCCCAUUCUUUAUGAAUUAAGAGCCCUGAGAGAUGAUCAGGUUGAUAGGCUGGAAGUGGAAGUCCUGCGAGGGAUGGAGCGGACCAGUACUAAUAGCUCGAGGACUUUACCAAG